rnacentral:tRNA from 1 species
GGAGGUACAGCUCAGUGGUAGAGAGCAUGCCUAGAACGUACAAGGUCCUGGGUUCAAUCCCCAAUACCUCCA